CUUACUGAGUCGAGCGAGGCCUUCCUUCGGGGAGGAGCCCUAGCGGCGAACGGGUGAGUAACACGUGGGCAACCUGCCCCUAGCACUGGGAUAACUCCGGGAAACCGGGGCUAAUACCGGAUACGACCUCCUUGGGCAUCCUCGGAGGUGGAAAGGAUUCUGGCUAGGGAUGGGCCCGCGGCCUAUCAGCUUGUUGGUGGGGUAACGGCCCACCAAGGCGACGACGGGUAGCCGGCCUGAGAGGGCGACCGGCCACACUGGGACUGAGACACGGCCCAGACUCCUACGGGAGGCAGCAGUGGGGAAUAUUGCACAAUGGGCGAAAGCCUGAUGCAGCGACGCCGCGUGAGGGAUGACWGCCUUCGGGUUGUAAACCUCUUUCAGCAGGGACGAAGCGAAAGUGACGGUACCUGCAGAAGAAGCACCGGCCAACUACGUGCCAGCAGCCGCGGUAAUACGUAGGGUGCAAGCGUUGUCCGGAAUUAUUGGGCGUAAAGAGCUCGUAGGCGGUUUGUCGCGUCGGCUGUGAAAACCUGGGGCUCAACCCCGGGCCUGCAGCCGAUACGGGCAAACUAGAAUUCGGUAGGGGAGUCCGGAAUUCCUGGUGUAGCGGUGAAAUGCGCAGAUAUCAGGAGGAACACCGGUGGCGAAGGCGGGACUCUGGGCCGAUAUUGACGCUGAGGAGCGAAAGCGUGGGGAGCAAACAGGAUUAGAUACCCCUGGUAGUCCACGCCGUAAACGGUGGGCGCUAGGUGUGGGCCUCAUUCCACGAGGUCUGUGCCGCAGCUAACGCAUUAAGCGCCCCGCCUGGGGAGUACGGCCGCAAGGCUAAAACUCARAGGAAUUGACGGGGGCCCGCACAAGCAGCGGAGCAUGUGGCUUAAUUCGAUGCAACGCGAAGAACCUUACCUAGGCUUGACAUGCACGGAAAUCUCAUAGAGAUAUGAGGUCCGUAAGGGCCGUGCACAGGUGGUGCAUGGCUGUCGUCAGCUCGUGUCSUGAGAUGUUGGGUUAAGUCCCGCAACGAGCRCMWCSYUYGUUGCYAUGUAAUGSCRGSGMSUARUGRCKGCCGGRSUCAWAGGAGACUGCCGGGGUCAACUCGGAGGAAGGUGGGGAUGACGUCAAGUCAUCAUGCCCCUUAUGUCUAGGGCUGCACACAUGCUACAAUGGCCGGUACAAAGGGCUGCGAUACCGCAAGGUGGAGCGAAUCCCAUAAAGCCGGUCUCAGUUCGGAUUGGGGUCUGCAACUCGACCCCAUGAAGUCGGAGUUGCUAGUAAUCGCAGAUCAGCAACGCUGCGGUGAAUACGUUCCCGGGCCUUGUACACACCGCCCGUCACGUCACGAAAGUCGGUAACACCCGAAGCCAGUGGCCCAACUCGCAAGAGAGGGAC
rnacentral:rRNA from 1 species